rnacentral:rRNA from 1 species
AGGAAGCGCAAGCAACCGCGAUUGCUUCAGUAACGGCGAGUGAAUGGGCAACACAAUCUCAGCCUGAAGUGGAUCCCUGACUGCACUGCUCAGGCAGUUGCAUCUCCGGCUCUCUUGGGUUCAACACAUGCUGUGGGCUGUGGAGCAGGUGGCUGUGCUCAGGCUUGGUCAUGCACCAGGAAUGGCCCUGGAAAGGCCUACCAGAGUGGGAUACUGUCCUUUACAAUCACCUGUGUGUGUGGCCAGCUUGGGCGUUGCUGCUUGUAUCCUGGAGUAGAGUGGCUUGGGACUGCAGUUUGAAGUGCAAGGUAUAUCCCUUGCAAGGCAGCAUACUGACAUGGGACCGAUAGAGCACAAGUAGAGUGAUCGAAGGAUGCAAAGGACUCUGCAAAGAGGGUUAAAAGCCCCUGAAGCCUCAGCAGGAACGGCGGUGAGUGGUGCUGUGGUUCACAGCCCUGUGCUUGCUUCAUGUCCUGUGGAUCAGCUGCGGUCAGGUCACUGCUGUGGUCAACAGCCAGUGCAUCCAACCACAGUGGGUCACAUGGGUCUGGGGUUUGGCCAGCGGCUGCUGUCCUCUGUCCUGGUGGAAUGGGUCACCUGUGUGGUGAAUCCAACCCCAGGUCAUGGCAGGAUCAAUCUGUGUGAUGCAUACCAGGUGCCCUUGGGUCAGCCCAGCACUGGUUACUGAGCUCUGUCCUCCAGGAUGGGAUGCAAUCGUGACAGUGUGUGGUGGCAGUAUGCCUGCCAGGACCUGAGGUAUCCAGAGUGAACUCCAAGAGAGGUUGCAGGUCAACAGAUCAGAGUGUGCUUCUGGCUUGCAGGUGCGGCAAUGUGGCGUUGUCCAUGGCCAAGUUGGUCCUCUGUUGAGGCUGGCCACAGGCUCCCUCAAAGCUGGCCUCAGGUCAGGCAUGCAAUGGUCAAGGAGUGUGCAACACAAGCAGUGCUGGAACAUCAAACCUGGUGUGUCUUCGGACAUGCCAGUGGCUGUGCUUGGUCCUGGCUUGGACUGGUGGCUGCAUGGUGGCUGCACCAUUCUGAUGGUGGCUCCUGUGUGGCUGCUGGUCCUCCAGACCUUGCAUGGUCAGAAGGCAGCUGAGCCUGGUGCAAGCAGUGCCACUCUCUGCCCGUCUUGAAACACGGACCAAGGAGUCUAUGGAGCUUGCAUGUUGGCUGGUCUUCUGCCAAACCCAGAGUGCACGGUGAAGGCAAGUCAACCCCAGAUGAGUCUCUGCAUGGGGCACCAGUCCCACAGUCCAGUGGACAGGGUUCUGAGUGAUUGCAAGGUCCAUGGGACCCGAAAGGUGGUGAACUAUACCGUGCUAUGAUGAAGCCGUGGGAAACUGCGGUGGAGGUCAGUCGCUGUUCUGACGUGCAAAUUGUGUAGCCUGAGUGCGGCAUAGGGGUGAAAGGCCAAUCGAGCCACCUAGUAGC